UACGAAGGGAGCGAGCGUUGUUCGGAAUCACUGGGCAUAAAGAGCACGUAGGCGGGUCUAGAAGUUGAGAGUGAAAGCCUCUGGCUUAACCAGAGAAUGGCUCUCAAAACCAUAGGUCUUGAGUACGAAAGAGGUGACUGGAAUUCCUGGUGGAGCGGUGAAAUGCGUAGAGAUCAGGAGGAACGCCGGAGGCGAAAGCGAGUCACUGGGUCGUAACUGACGCUAAGGUGCGAAAGCUAGGGGAGCAAACAGG
rnacentral:rRNA from 1 species